CCUACGGGUGGCAGCAGUGAGGAAUAUUGGUCAAUGGACGAGAGUCUGAACCAGCCAAGUAGCGUGAAGGAUGACUGCCCCAUGGGUUGUAAACUUCUUUUAUAUGGGAAUAAAAUGUUCCACGUGUGGGAUUUUGUAUGUACCAUAUGAAUAAGGAUCGGCUAACUCCGUGCCAGCAGCCGCGGUAAUACGGAGGAUCCGAGCGUUAUCCGGAUUUAUUGGGUUUAAAGGGAGCGUAGGUGGAUUGUUAAGUCAGUUGUGAAAGUUUGCGGCUCAACCGUAAAAUUGCAGUUGAAACUGGCAGUCUUGAGUACAGUAGAGGUGGGCGGAAUUCGUGGUGUAGCGGUGAAAUGCUUAGAUAUCACGAAGAACUCCGAUUGCGAAGGCAGUUCACUGGACUGCAACUGACACUGAGGCUCGAAAGUGUGGGUAUCAAACAGGAUUAGAUACCCUUGUAGUC
rnacentral:rRNA from 1 species